UACGAAGGGGGCUAGCGUUGCUCGGAAUCACUGGGCGUAAAGCGCACGUAGGCGGCUUUUUAAGUCAGGGGUGAAAUCCUGGAGCUCAACUCCAGAACUGCCUUUGAUACUGAGAAGCUUGAGUCCGGGAGAGGUGAGUGGAACUGCGAGUGUAGAGGUGAAAUUCGUAGAUAUCGGGAGGAACACCAGUGGCGAAGGCGACUACCUGGCCUGUUCUUGACGCUGAGGCGCGAAAGCUAGGGGAGCAAACGGG
rnacentral:rRNA from 1 species